AUGUCUCUGAAAGUCUAAUCUCAUGUCUCUCAAAGUUAAUUUUAUGGUUGUGCAUUGUCGGUCUCGUUAACCAAGAGGACGGCAUACAGCUUCCUAGAGUUCCCCUGUUCGUGGUUGUAUAACAGUGUACAAAUCAACGCGUCGUAUAACACGCAUUAGAUAUUUAGGGUCCCUAUCGAUCGUAUUUCGUCAAGACACGCGGUAUCUGACGUAUUCUGUGCUGUGAGCAACAUGAAGGUCAUCUUGGUCUGUGCUACGGUCAUACUUCUUCAACUGAUUCCUGGCCGGGAAUGUAAGAAGGAAAACUGUGACUACCCAAUCGCUUGCCACGGAAAUCUAGAAUUUGACACUUGCCCGAGUGGUAAGAAUCCGACGUACUAUUUUGACUCAGACGAAACCAAUUGUUACAAAAAUCCGUUCGGCAAAUGCGGAACGACUUGCAACGACUUCAACACCGAAGAAGAGUGUAAAAGCAAAUGCAUCAACAGCCUAUUUUGGAAGUAAGCUGCGGAAAAACUGCCCCAGCGAUCCCAAUAAAAACUGCAUUGCCAAUCCGUUGA